rnacentral:miRNA from 1 species
UUAUGGUCUAUGGCCAUGCCACCCUGAACAACCCCAAUCCCAUCUGAUCUCAGAAGCUAAGCAGGGUCGGGCCUGGUUAGUACUUGGACGGG